UGCAGUCGAGCGAGAAGUCUCUUCGGAGAUAAGUACAGCGGCGGACGGGUGAGUAACGCGUGAGAAUUUUCCCUUUAGUGAAGAAUACCCUUGAGAAAUCAGGGUUAAUACUGCAUACGUCCCUCCGGGGAGAAAGGUGGCCUCUUUGCUGCCGCUAAAGGAUAAGCUUGCGUACUAUUAGCUAGUUGGUGAGGUAAAGACUCACCAAGGCGAUGAUGGUUAGCCGGCCUGAGAGGGUGUACGGCCACACUGGAACUUAGACACGGUCCAGACUCCUACGGGAGGCAGCAGUGAGGAAUAUUGCGCAAUGGGCGAAAGCCUGACGCAGCGACGCCGCGUGGAGGAUGAAGGUCUUCGGAUUGUAAACUCCUGUUAAGUGGGAAGAAAGACCUAUUUCUAAUACAGAUAGGGGAUGACGGUACCAUUAGAGAAAGCACCGGCUAACUUCGUGCCAGCAGCCGCGGUAAUACGAGGGGUGCAAGCGUUAUUCGGAAUCAUUGGGCGUAAAGGGUGCGUAGACGGCUUAUUAAGUCAACUGUUAAAUUCUCCGGCCUAACUGGAGGUCAGCGGUAGAAACUAAUAGGCUUGAGAUUGGAAGAGAGAAGUGGAAUUCUCGGAGUAGCGGUAAAAUGCGUAGAUCUCGAGAGGAACACCGAUG
rnacentral:rRNA from 1 species